rnacentral:rRNA from 1 species
CCUACGGGAGGCUGCAGUGAGGAAUAUUGGUCAAUGGACGAGAGUCUGAACCAACCAAGUAGCGUGAAGGAUGACUGCCCUAUGGGUUGUAAACUUCUUUUAUAUGGGAAUAAAAUGUUCCACGUGUGGGAUUUUGUAUGUACCAUAUGAAUAAGGAUCGGCUAACUCCGUGCCAGCAGCCGCGGUAAUCCGGAGGAUCCGAGCGUUAUCCGGAUUUAUUGGGUUUAAAGGGAGCGUAGGUGGAUUGUUAAGUCAGUUGUGAAAGUUUGCGGCUCAACCGUAAAAUUGCAGUUGAAACUGGCAGUCUUGAGUACAGUAGAGGUGGGCGGAAUUCGUGGUGUAGCGGUGAAAUGCUUAGAUAUCACGAAGAACUCCGAUUGCGAAGGCAGUUCACUGGACUGCAACUGACACUGAGGCUCGAAAGUGUGGGUAUCAAACAGGAUUAGAUACCCGAGUAGUC